CCUACGGGUGGCAGCAGUGAGGAAUAUUGGUCAAUGGACGAGAGUCUGAACCAGCCAAGUAGCGUGCAGGAUGACUGCCCUAUGGGUUGUAAACUGCUUUUAUGCGGGGAUAAAGUGGGGAACGUGUUCUCUAUUGCAGGUACCGCAUGAAUAAGGACCGGCUAAUUCCGUGCCAGCAGCCGCGGUAAUACGGAAGGUCCAGGCGUUAUCCGGAUUUAUUGGGUUUAAAGGGAGCGUAGGCCGUUUUUUAAGCGUGUUGUGAAAUGUACCGGCUCAACCGGUGAUGUGCAGCGCGAACUGGAAGACUUGAGUGCGUAGUAAGCAGGCGGAAUUCGUGGUGUAGCGGUGAAAUGCUUAGAUAUCACGAAGAACUCCGAUAGCGCAGGCAGCUUGCUGCAUCGCAACUGACGCUGAUGCUCGAAAGCGUGGGUAUCAAACAGGAUUAGAUACCCUGGUAGUC
rnacentral:rRNA from 1 species